rnacentral:lncRNA from 1 species
CUCAAUGAUAUGUUCCCAAAUAACCUACUCAGCAACAAAAUAAUAUCAUACAUUCACCCUUAUGAAAUUUACAGCAUCGAGUCAUUUCACUAAGAUAGUUCAACAAUUGUACACCUAAAUUUGGCAUUUCACUGCAAAUUAUCAACAAAUUCAACCAAUUUUAUGACUACAACUAAUAAAAAAGGGAAUAUGGUACAUUUCACAAAAAGCUUGAAGCUUCGAGGAAACCGACACCUCCUUUGAAAAAGCUUGAAGCUUCUUUGAUAAUACUUCUCAUGGAUCUUUGAUUAAUGAAACUGGUUUGUCUUUAUAGUCGUUACGUUUACAACAAAAAUGUAGGACUUGGUUACAACCAAUUACAUCACUACUUGUACAACUCCAUUACUAACUAAAUAUCCCUAAUAGUUAGCUAAACAAUUGGACCUAUGCUAACCGUUACAUGGACUUUUUCAAAUAAUAAUUCAUAAAACUAAAACUAACAUAUACAUGUAUGUAACUUUCCUCCUCCCUUAAAAAGCCUCUUGUCCUCAAGGUUUUAUUUAUGCUUUACUAGGAUCCCAGACCUUGUAACUUGUGGUUUUGAAAACAAAUUCUAUCACCAUGGUAAGUUUUCUCAUAUCACCAAUAUGAUUAGUUUGAUUUGGAGAAUGGUCCUGUUCGCCUUCAAGAUUGAAGCAUGGAUUGAAAUGUGGUCAUGCAACAACCAUCUUCAUUGCUGCAUAUUUUGGGACAAUAAAUUUAUUCACUUGUGUAAAAGGACCAAAUAAACAAAAAAUACAAUAAAUAAAAACAUACCACUAUUCUUGGGCAAGAAUAAUAGUGUCUACCAGGAUUCUUUUCCGACAUUGAAAAUUUGACUUUUCAUUGCCCGAACCACGACGACAUAUGAACGGAGGCCAUACGGAUGUAGCAGUAGAGAAAUUCGAUGACAUAUUUUCUAUCAACAGGCAAGCAUAAAUAGAGUUAGUGGUUCAACUACAAUAUACACGCUAAGAGGUAAAUAAAUAAUAUUAUCUUUAUUUUAGAAUAAUGGAUAAUUAUAAACAUUAUGAGUGUGAAUAUGGUACAGUUAUUAUAAACAUUGAGAUUUCACAAAGCAAGUACCAUAUUCAUAAUUAAGUACCAUAUUCAUAACUGUACUUAAAGGUGCAAGGAAUGAAUGGCACUCCCUAUAAGCUAUUGUUUGUGGAGUGUGAUAUUAACUCACUGAAGAAUGGCAGCAUAAAUUUCAGGGCUCAGAAUUUGCAGUAUAAACAUUGAAAGGAUGAAAAAUCAAAAAUGGGAACCAUAAUACCCUAAAUUUGGAGAAUGACUAUUGAAAUUAUAAAAUUCUAAAGAAGUUUAUAGGAGAGAAGUUGGGGAAGAAAUUUAAAUUGUUAUUGCAAAAUUAAAAUCCCAAAACAUCAUCUAUAGCUUUUUCUUCAACUGAGAACAAAGCAUAAUGAAAUACACUAACCUACUUACUCUAGCCAUAUUUCCCAAAUAUUCUCAUCUAAAUAGGAUUACUGAUCUAUAAAUAAUAGUUCUGAAAUUCAUAAAUCCUGCAGGUAACAGCUCCUCUGAAUCAUGAAAACAUCUAGUCCAUAUUCAAAUAACAUUUCUUUUCCGGACCAGAUGAGUUGGUUAACUUAAAUCAUAGAAACCAAAAGGAUUUACUAGUUCACUUCCCACAGAAUACCCCACCACAAAAAACAACACAAUCCACCCAAAAAUGAUGCCAACUCUGAGAUUCACUCAGUCCACUUUUCGCCAAUAAUAUACUUUGACAAAGCUAACACCUGUUCACAAUGAAAUUUAUUCCUCUUCCACAAAUUAUUCCUUUCAAUUUCAAUUUUCAAUGUUUAUAUUAUCAAAAUUUGCCAUAAUUUUACCUUUCGAUAUUGUAAAUUCAAUGCUUAUAUAAUCGAAUUUUUUUAGAGAAAAGGGAGAAAAAGCAACUACCCAUUUUCUUAUCAAUUAUAUACAAGUAUUGGAUAUCUCCUUACCACACAUGUAUCUUCUGCAAUCUAUUGGAUAAAAUGGCAGUAAGGUACCUACAAUAUAUUUUACCUCCGAUUAUAAUCAAUACACUAUAAUUUAUCCAAUUAUAAAGAAUAAACCCUAGAUUUCUUACUUGACAACCCAUAUGAGGAAAACUCAUAAAGAACAAACCCUAGAUUUCUAAUGCGACAAACAAAAAUUACAAACCCAAUAAAAUUAAGGAGCUUUACCUUCCGAUCCGUUUGCUAUGGUUUCGUUGGCCGGAGACCUUCCGUUGACCUUUACCUUUACCUUCCGUCUGCUACAGUAUCGCGUGAGAAAGAGGGGGAAGAGUUGGAGAGAGAAAUCGGUUUUUGCAUCUGAUGAUUAUUGGGUUUUAUUUUGUUAGUAGUUUGACCCAUGAUGAACCCCGCGUGUUUUUUUCCCCAGUUCGUCUUUAGUCCGUAACUGUAGUACGUUGGAGAAAGAUAA